rnacentral:rRNA from 1 species
AUGUACAAACCGCUGAAGGUGCUAUUCACUGGCAAAUUGGUGACCUACCAAAGUCGGAAGAAUCUCAGACAAUUUGGAUCUCUUUCUGGUCUACGGCAAAGCAACCAGUGUAAUAAACUACAAGAAGAUGAUGAUGGCUUUGGUUCCCCCAUUUGUGCUUCGCUGUCGCGAGAUGCAGAGGAUACCUGCAUGCCACGGAGGGAGAGGCUGGAAGCUUGGGCGGCUAUGCUUCAAAGAGACGCUCUUUGUCAUCAUGCUGAUGGGGCGAGAGAAGUUGCACAUGUCAUGCUCCGGAUCACCGAUGACGAUGAAACUGUGGAGGAUGUUAAACAGUUAAGACUGAUGUUUGAUGGCCCUUCACUUCACAUCUUCUGUUGGUGA